rnacentral:lncRNA from 1 species
GCGGCCAAAGAUGAAAAUAAACGAACAAUCGAGAGAUGUAAACGUUUUACCGAAAGAGUGAACGUUAAUAUCACGGAAGCUGGGAAACUAGCUCAGCAGAUGAUAAAAGCAUCUGGAUCUCCCGAUAUUUUAUCACAAAGCACCAGAAGAUUUGUUCACAACGAGAAUGCUAUAAAAUCAACUGAAGAAAAUAUCAGGAAAAUGAGAAACUUAGUUGGACAGAUGGACGCGCAGUACGACGAGAUUCAUCAACGGUUAGAGUUGAUUGCAAAAAUUGAUCACCAGAUGCAUUCGACGCCUGCGAAUUAAAUGGGCCAAUUUAUAUGUGAUUAAUAGAUUGUAUUAUUUUUGUAAAUCGGUAAAUUAUAAAGCUGUAUAUAUGUUUCAUAAUAAAACCUUC